UACGUAGGGACCAAGCGUUGUCCGGAAUCAUUGGGCGUAAAGAGCGUGUAGGCGGCUUGUUAAGUCUUGCGUGAAAUCUCGGGGCUCAACCCCGAGCGGUCGUGAGAAACUGGCAGGCUAGAGUGCGGGAGAGGAGAGUGGAAUUCCUGGUGUAGCGGUGAAAUGCGCAGAUAUCAGGAAGAACACCGGUGGCGAAGGCGGCGAUCUGGGUCGAUACUGACGCUGAGGUGCGAAAGCGUGGGGAGCAAACAGG
rnacentral:rRNA from 1 species